AUUCCAGCUCCAAUAGCGUAUAUUAAAGUUGUUGCGGUUAAAAGACUCGUAGUUGGAUUUCUGUUGAGGGCAUCCGGUCCGCACUAUGUGCGUGUAUCUGGUUUGGCCUCGGCAUCCUUCCGGAAACGUGUCUGCGCUUGAUUGCGUGGCGCGGAGUUCGGAACUUUUACUUUGAGGAAAUUAGAGUGUUCACGGCAGGCAGUCGCCUUGAAUAUAUUAGCAUGGAAUAAUAAUAUAGGGAUCUUGGUUCUAUUUUGUUGGUUCUAGAGCUAAGAUAAUGAUUAAUAGGGACAAUUGGGGCAUUCGUAUUAACGCGUCAGAGGUGGAAUUCUUUGGAUUGCGUUUACGACGAAACUACUGCGAAAGCAUUUUGCCCAAGGAUGUUUUUCAUUGAUCAAGAACGAAAGUUGGAGGCUCGAAGACGAUCAGAUACCGUCCUAGUUCCAACCAUAAACGAUGCCGUCUGCGGAUCGGAGUCGCUCAC
rnacentral:rRNA from 1 species